UAUAUCUUGGAGGGCAACUGGGAGCUCUUUCUUGAUUCUAUGAGUAGUUAUUCAUGGCCAUUCUUAGUUUAUGGAGUGAAUUUUUUGGUUAAUUUCAUUAAUGAACAAUACUCCGGCACGCUUACUAGCUUUGUGAAAAUUAGAUUCAUGUAAUAGGAGAAAGAUUUUUUAUUCCUUAAGCGAAAAAAUAUUUGACUAGUGGAUUCGAGAUUUCUUAUGGGGCACAAGCAUCCAAAGUAAUUUAGUCUCGUUGUUUUUCAUUAUCUACAAAUUGCCUUUUUUCCUAGGUGAUCAUUUUGUGAGUGAAAGCAAAUCAAGCAACAACGAGAACCAGAGAAGCAGGCAUGAUAGUCCU
rnacentral:rRNA from 1 species